rnacentral:rRNA from 1 species
UACGAGAGGCCCAAACGUUAUUCGGAAUUACUGGGCUUAAAGAGUUCGUAGGCGGCGCGGAAAGUGGGGUGUGAAAGCCCUCGGCUCAACCGAGGAAUUGCGCUCCAAACUACCGUGCUUGAGGAAGCUAGAGGUGAGCAGAACUGAUGGUGGAGCGGUGAAAUGCGUUGAUAUCAUCAGGAAUACCGGAGGCGAAGGCGGCUCACUGGGGCUUUUCUGACGCUGAGGAACGAAAGCCAGGGUAGCAAACAGG